rnacentral:lncRNA from 1 species
CUUCUUGGCAGGGAUUACUAACACUUUUAUUUAUCGGAGCUGAACACCUUUAUACCUCAUUGAAUCCUUAAAACAACUUUAUGAGGUGAGAACACAGUGUUUCUCCCCUUCAGGGGAUGCAGCAAUAAGGCGCCAUCUUGGAAGGAGACAGCAGCCCUCACCAGACACCAAUCCUGCUGGUGCCUGAAUCUUAGACUUAUCAGCUUCGAGAAUUGUGAGAAAUAAAUUUCUGUUGUUUAUAAAUUAUUCAGUGUAGCAGCACAAAUGGACUAAGACAGCCCAGAAAUUGCUGCAUGAUGCUGUAACGUCAAGUUUGCUAAGUGAUGAAUCCCUUUAGGCUUCCUUGCCUUGGGAAUUUUUGCAGGAAGGACAGAAAGAAGAAGCCAUCUGAUCAACAGCUCUUCUUGCCUCCUGUGAAAGCCCUCAUUGCACUGAAGAGAAUUUCCCAGGUGUCCCAGAGUGGGAGGAUGGUGAGUGAAGGCUUUUGGGGGUCUAGGAGAGAGGAGGGAGCAGCUAAUUUCCUAAACUGGGAAGGGAUCAGAGAGAGAGAUCUGUGAGUCCUGCAGGCAGUAAGGAUCCGUCCCCUGUUCUGUAGGCUGUGGGGAGGCAGUGGCAUCAUAGAGAGGACAACCCUGGGGUGCCAGGAGGUACCGGAGUUCCCAACCUUGGCAAAGAUUCUAAUAUCUGUCCGUUCUGCUACAGUGAUCACAUACAUUUCCAGGACACUAGUAUGACUCUCCGAAGGGAGACCACCAAUAAUGCCUGAGACAGAAUUUUUCACUAAUCCACUGGAAAGGGAAAUGGAGUUGGAAUAAAGUUACUUAAACAUAAUAAAGAAUAUAGCACCUUUGCCAUAACCCAGCAGUUUCGCUCCUAUGUAUCUGCCCAAGAGAAAAGAAAAUACAUAUUCAGAAAAAGACAUGUACAAGAAUGUAUGUUACAGAUUUGUCUAUAAUAGCUCCAGAUUAAAAAUAGCCCAGAUGUCCAUAAAUAGGAGAACAGAUAAACAAAUUGUGAUAUAUUCAUACAGUGGAAUGUUACAGAGCAAUGAAAAAAAACCCUGUGAAAACACAAGAUGGGUGAAUUUCAGAAAUAUGCUGAAUGAAAGAAGCCAGACAAGAGUACAUACUAUAUAAUUUCAAUGAUAUGAUGGUCUAGAAAAGACCAAUCUAAUCUAUAAUGCCAGAAAGCAGAUGAGUGGUUGCCUUGGCUGUGGGUUAGGAAGCACCAUGGUGGAAAUUUUUUGGGUAUUGUAAAUGUUGAACAUUUUGAUUGUGGG